rnacentral:rRNA from 1 species
AUUGAACGCUGGCGGAAUGCUUUACACAUGCAAUUCGAACGGGCACACGGAGAGCUUGCUCUCUGGUGGCGAGUGGCGAACGGGUGAGUAAUAUAUCGGAACGUAUCCAAUAAUGGGGGAUAACGAGUCGAAAGAUUCGCUAAUACCGCAUACGCCCUACGGGGGAAAGCAGGGGAUCGUAAGACCUUGCGUUAAUGGAGCGGCCGAUAUCUGAUUAGCUUGUUGGUGAGGUAAAGGCUCACCAAGGCGACGAUCAGUAGCUGGUUUGAGAGAACGACCAGCCACACUGGAACUGAGACACGGUCCAGACUCCUACGGGAGGCAGCAGUGGGGAAUUUUGGACAAUGGGGGCAACCCUGAUCCAGCCAUUCCGCGUGAGUGAAGAAGGCCUUCGGGUUGUAAAGCUCUUUCGCAAGGGAAGAAAACUUAUGAUCGAAUAAAUCAUGAGGUUGACGGUACCUUGAUAAGAAGCACCGGCUAACUACGUGCCAGCAGCCGCGGUAAUACGUAGGGUGCGAGCGUUAAUCGGAAUUACUGGGCGUAAAGCGUGCGCAGGCGGUUUUGUAAGUCGGAUGUGAAAUCCCCGGGCUCAACCUGGGAACUGCGUUCGAAACUGCAAGGCUAGAGUGUGUCAGAGGGGGGUAGAAUUCCACGUGUAGCAGUGAAAUGCGUAGAGAUGUGGAGGAAUACCAAUGGCGAAGGCAGCCCC